rnacentral:rRNA from 1 species
CUACGGGACGCAGCAGUGAGGAAUAUUGCACAAUGGGGGAAACCCUGAUGCAGCAACGCCGCGUGGAGGAUGACGCAUUUCGGUGUGUAAACUCCUUUUAUAUGUCAAGAAAAUGACGGUAGCAUAUGAAUAAGCACCGGCUAACUCCGUGCCAGCAGCCGCGGUAAUACGGAGGGUGCAAGCGUUACUCGGAAUCACUGGGCGUAAAGGACGCGUAGGCUGGUUGGUAAGUCAGGUGUGAAAUCCUACAGCUUAACUGUAGAACUGCACUUGAAACUUCUAAUCUAGAGUAUGGGAGGGGGAGAUGGAAUUAGUGGUGUAGGGGUAAAAUCCGUAGAUAUCACUAGGAAUACCUAAAGCGAAGGCGAUCUCCUGGAACAUUACUGACGCUAAGGCGUGAAAGCGUGGGGAGCAAACAGGAUUAGAUACCCCAGUAGUC